AACGAACGCUGGCGGCGUGCUUCAUACAUGCAAGUCGUGCGAGACUCCUGGAGCAAUCCGGGAGAAAAGCGGCAGACGGGUGAGUAACACGUGGGUAAUCUACCUGAAAGUUUGGGAUAAGCCUCCGAAAGGGGGUCUAAUACCGGAUGAAGUUUCUUUAAGGCAUCUUUUAGAAACCAAAGCUAGUCUCUGUUUACAAGCUAGCGCUUACAGACGUACCCGCGCUCCAUUAGUUAGUUGGCGGGAUAACAGCCCACCAAGACUGCGAUGGAUAACCGACCUGAGAGGGUGUACGGUCACACUGGGACUGAGACACGGCCCAGACUCCUACGGGAGGCAGCAGUAGGGAAUAUUGCGCAAUGGCCUAACGGCUGACGCAGCAACGCCGCGUGGAGGAUGAAGUC
rnacentral:rRNA from 1 species